GAUCCUGGCUCAGGAUGAACGCUAGCGGGAGGCCUAACACAUGCAAGCCGAGCGGUAGAGAUUCUUCGGAAUCUUGAGAGCGGCGUACGGGUGCGGAACACGUGUGCAACCUACCUUUAUCUGGAGGAUAGCCUUUCGAAAGGAAGAUUAAUACUCCAUAAUAUAUUGAUUGGCAUCAAUUGAUAUUGAAAGCUCCGGCGGAUAGAGAUGGGCACGCGCAAGAUUAGUUAGUUGGUGAGGUAACGGCUCACCAAGACGAUGAUCUUUAGGGGCCUGAGAGGGUGAUCCCCCACACUGGUACUGAGACACGGACCAGACUCCUGCGGGAGGCAGCAGUGAGGAAUAUUGGUCAAUGGGUGCAAGCCUGAACCAGCCAUCCCGCGUGAAGGACGACUGCCCUAUGGGUUGUAAACUUCUUUUGUAUAGGGAUAAACCUACCCUCGUGAGGGCAGCUGAAGGUACUAUACGAAUAAGCACCGGCUAACUCCGUG
rnacentral:rRNA from 1 species